rnacentral:rRNA from 1 species
GACGUAGGGGGCGAGCGUUGUCCGGAUUUAUUGGGCGUAAAGCGUGCGUAGGCGGCUGCGCAAGUCGGGUGUGAAACCCCGGGGCUCAACCCCGGAACUGCAUCCGAUACUGCGUGGCUAGAGGUAGGUAGGGGAGAUCGGAAUUCCUGGUGUAGCGGUGAAAUGCGCAGAUAUCAGGAGGAACACCGGUGGCGAAGGCGGAUCUCUGGGCCUUACCUGACGCUCAGGCACGAAAGCUAGGGGAGCAAACAGG